AGCGAACGCUGGCGGCAGGCUUAACACAUGCAAGUCGAGCGGGCAUCCUUGUGGUGUCAGCGGCAGACGGGUGAGUAACGCGUGGGAACGUGCCCUUCGGUUCGGAAUAACUCAGGGAAACUUGAGCUAAUACCGGAUACGUGCGAGAGCAGAAAGGUUUAUCUGCCGAAGGAUCGGCCCGCGUCUGAUUAGCUAGUUGGUGAGGUUAUGGCUCACCAAGGCGACGAUCAGUAGCUGGUCUGAGAGGAUGAUCAGCCACACUGGGACUGAGACACGGCCCAGACUCCUACGGGAGGCAGCAGUGGGGAAUAUUGGACAAUGGGGGCAACCCUGAUCCAGCCAUGCCGCGUGAGUGAUGACGGCUUUAGGGUUGUAAAGCUCUUUUCUCCGGGACGAUAAUGACGGUACCGGAGGAAUAAGCCCCGGCUAACUUCGUG
rnacentral:rRNA from 1 species